rnacentral:rRNA from 1 species
AUUGAACGCUGGCGGCAUGCCUUACACAUGCAAGUCGAACGGUAACAGGUCUUCGGAUGCUGACGAGUGGCGAACGGGUGAGUAAUGUAUCGGAACGUGCCCAGUCGUGGGGGAUAACGCAGCGAAAGCUGUGCUAAUACCGCAUACGAUCUAAGGAUGAAAGCGGGGGACCUGCAAGGGCCUCGCGCGAUUGGAGCGGCUGAUAUCAGAUUAGGUAGUUGGUGAGGUAAAGGCUCACCAAGCCUGCGAUCUGUAGCUGGUCUGAGAGGACGACCAGCCACACUGGAACUGAGACACGGUCCAGACUACUACGGGAGUCAGCAGUGGGGAAUUUUGGACAAUGGGCGCAAGCCUGAUCCAGCAAUGCCGCGUGCAGGAUGAAGGCCUUCGGGUUGUAAACUGCUUUUGUACGGAACGAAAAGGUUCUCUCUAAUACAGGGGGCUCAUGACGGUACCGUAAGAAUAAGCACCGGCUAACUACGUGCCAGCCGCCGCCGUAAAAC